rnacentral:lncRNA from 1 species
CUGCAGAGGCAGAGGCAGCAUCCAGCGGCGGCGCCAGCAGUUCCAGUCCGUUGCUUUACUUUUUGCUUCACCGACAUAGUCAUUAUGCCGAAGAGAAAGUCUCCAGAGAAUACAGAGGGCAAAGAUGGAUCCAAAGUAACUAAACAGGAGCCCACAAGACGGUCUGCCAGAUUGUCAGCGAAACCUGCUCCACCAAAACCUGAACCCAAACCAAGAAAAACAUCUGCUAAGAAAGAACCUGGAGCAAAGAUUAGCAGAGGUGCUAAAGGGAAGAAGGAGGAAAAGCAGGAAGCUGGAAAGGAAGAAAACUGAAUCUGUAGAUAACGAGGGAGAAUGAAUUGUCAUGAAAAAUUGGGGUUGAUUUUAUGUAUCUCUUGGGACAACUUUUAAAAGCUAUUUUUACCAAGUAUUUUGUAAAUGCUAAUUUUUUAGGACUCUACUAGUUGGCAUACGAAAAUAUAUAAGGAUGGACAUUUUAUCGUCUCAUAGUCAUGCUUUUUGGAAAUUUACAUCAUCCUCAAGUAAAAUAAAUAUCAGUUAAAUAUUGGAAGCUGUGUGUAAGAUUGAUUCAGCAUUCCAUGCACUUGCUUUAAAAUUUAGUCCUGUGCAUACUGUGGUGUUUUUACUGUGCAUAUUUGAAUUUUUCAUGCAGUUUUUCUAGAGCAAUAAUCAGUGGUGCUUUUGUACCUAGGUUUUAUGUGAUUUUAAUGAAACAUGGAUAGUUGUGGCCACCUGCUGACUAUUUGUGGUUUAAAAUAAAAGGUUUACUUGUCUGCAG